UACGGAGGAUUCGAGCGUUAUCCGGAUUUACUGGGUGUAAAGGGAGCGUAGACGGCAGCACAAGUCUGGAGUGAAAUCCCAUGGCUUAACCAUGGAACUGCUUUGGAAACUGUGCAGCUGGAGUGCAGGAGAGGUAAGCGGAAUUCCUAGUGUAGCGGUGAAAUGCGUAGAUAUUAGGAGGAACACCAGUGGCGAAGGCGGCCUACUGGACGGUGACUGACGCUGAUGCACGAAAGCGUGGGGAUCGAACAGG
rnacentral:rRNA from 1 species